GAUGAAGAACGUAGCGAAAUGCGACAAGUAAUGUGAAUUGCAGAAUUCCGUGAAUCAUCGAAUCUUUGAACGCACAUUGCGCCCGCCAGCAUUCUGGCGGGCAUGCCUGUUCGAGCGUCAUUUCAACCCUCGAGCCCCCCCGGGGGCCUCGGUGUUGGGGGACGGCACACCAGCCGCCCCCGAAAUGCAGUGGCGACCCCGCCGCAGCCUCCCCUGCGUAGUAGCACACACCUCGCACCGGAGCGCGGAGGCGGUCACGCCGUAAAACGCCCAACUUUCUUAGAGUUGACCUCGGAUCAGGUAGGAAUACCCGCUGAACUUAAGCAUAUCAAUAAGCGGAGGA
rnacentral:misc_RNA from 1 species